AUGGGUCCAAAAUCAAGUAAGAAUAGUGAACCACCGCCGAGAUCUACACCAUCACGCUAUAGCAGAGCUGCGACGGGCCGUCGACCAUUGAAAAUCUCAGAUCCGCCGAUUGCAAAAACUAAUAUCAAAUCUGCACAUCUCCGCUCCGACGAACCUUGCCAACACAAAUGCACAACCGCGAAUCAGACCACCAACCUCUCCUUCUGA